CUCAGGUGAUUCUGAGGUGAAGAUUUUAGAGAACUUUCUUCUCCCAGCCCUUCAAAGAGUCCCAGGAUGCACAAACCAUACUUUUGACUGGAACAUCCGGUUCUUAAAAGGUUUUGUCCAAAUUCA